CUUUGUUCUGUUUUAAAAAUGGUUCAAAAGGGUGUUGCGUUUCAGAUGGUCUCUGCAUCGUUUAACCACCGCCUAAGUUUUUGCUUGAAGGUAUCUUACCAUGGAGGGUGACAGUCCCGUAUGGCGGAUGCCCGUGAGGGUAAGGUUUUAUGGUGUAUGUGGACUAUUCUGUAGAGUCAGGUUGUCUAAUACUACAACCUAAAGAAGGUGGUAAACUCCAUCUAAGGCUAAAUAUGACCACGAGACCGAUAGCGAACAAGUACCGUGAGGGAAAGUUGAAAAGGACUUUGAAGAGAGAGUUCAAUAGUACGUGAAACCGUUAAGAGCCUAAACGGAUGGGACCAAUGCAGAUCGAACUGAGGGGAUUCAGCUCGCCGGCAUCAUCUCAUUAUGAGGUUGAAAGCAGAAAUGCGAAGUGACCUGAGCCAUGGAUUGAGCAAAAACAUCAUUGCUGUUGUGUUUGUAAUACAUCCUAUCAGGCACGCCUUAAUAAUUGAUUGAAGGUGUUGGUUGGCGUAUUUCGCUUCUGAAGUAGAUCACUGCGACCUAUUGCGGGGAAGUCGAAGGCCCGGUUGGAUUGGUAGCCUUAUGCCAAGUACGGUAUUGUGAUCCUUGGCAACAAUCUGAACAAGUGAGCCUUGGUGAGCAGCUGUAUGUAGGUGUUUUGUGAAACCACCGGUGACAUAUCCUAACUGCCCUGCGAUAGUCGUUAGGGAAGGUCUUCCUUAUGGAAUUCUCUUUCGCAGUGCGUGCAAAGAGGGCCAGGAACCAACCGACCCGUCUUGAAACACGGACCAAGGAGUCUAACAUGUGUGCAAGUCUAAGGGAGUAUUACUAAACCCGAUGGCGAAAUGAAGGUGAUGAGAAUUCACACCAGGUGGCAUUGUAUUGAGGUGCCCACAGGACUGAUCCCUUGGGCUGGUACCUAUUGAAUUAAGCCCCGUCCAACCUUGGGACAAGUACGUUGGUGAGCCCCUCUCCCAAUCGAACGUCUGUGUUUGAGAUGCGUUGCUGGGUUGGACUGCAUGGUUAAGGUCUGAGAAUCUGUUAAUUGAUGCAGAGGAGGCGCAAGUCUGGGACAUGACCUUAUCUUAAAUGUGAAGACGGCAACCUGUUUAAUGGCGUGCAUCAUAUACUCCCCUGGCAAUACACUAUUUCCUUACAGUUAUAAUUAUUUGCUGACAGCUUGAUUAUGGUUGCAGGGUGGUGUAGUGUACGGGUCUUCAGUUGGGUAAUAUUUGUUGGUCACCAAAACUAAUAGACGUUGAGGACAUGUACCUUUAGCAUACAUGUUAGUACCCGAAAGAUGGUGAACUAUGCCUGGCCGGGAUGAAGCCAGAGGAAACUCUGGUGGAGGUCCGAAGCAAUUCUGACGUGCAAAUCGAUUGUCAGAGCUGGGUAUAGGGGCGAAAGACUAAUCGAACCGUCUAGUAGCUGGUUCCCUCCGAAGUUUCCCUCAGGAUAGCUGGUACUCAUUGAAGAGUUUCAUCUGGUAAAGAGAAUGAUUAGAGGUGAUGGGGACGAAAUGUCCUCAACCUAUUCUCAAACUUUAAAUGGGUGAGAAUGGCCAAGCUUUCAUAAAACAUGAGUGAUAAGGCAGCAAUGAAAUUGCAUCUAUAUGAUCUCAUGAAAACGAAGCUUUGGCAUUGGAAUCAGAGUACCAAGUGGGCCACUUUU
rnacentral:rRNA from 1 species